UUUUAGUCCAGAAUUGGCUAGUUGGAUGAAGCAUGCCUGAGCUGAGGCUUGAAUGCUUUUGAAAAUCAGCAAACACAACUACAGUCUCCAUGAUGUAAACCAAUCUGCUGGACUACUUCCAAUUUCAGCUCCGACACAUGAAGAGCUUGGAAGUCAUCAUUCCCAUCCUUCACAAAAAGUAAAAACCAAACAAACUGAAAAUUUGUGACUUUUCUUGGGUCCCUCAGAGAAUAAAGGUUUCAGGCAAACUGCCAGCUUGACAUCUGGAGAGAGAGGAAAAUCCAAAGAGACAUAGCCAAGAUCUGUUUACCUGAACCUGAUGACAACAGAAUGAUCAACUAGUAGAAAAACUUAAAUAAUAAUUUUGAUGACUUGCUGGAGGCAGAGUGUGAAUUUGCCUGAGAGUGAGAGACCUGGUAUUUGGUGAUUACAGCAUACAGGGCUCUGUCUGGGUGCUAUCAUUGUCCACUGUUGUGCAAAGCCCAGACUGCAUCCUCUAGGAUAAGCACCUAAGUGAGGAGGAACCCUGGGCCCCUAGGUGAUGACCAUGCCCUUGGGAUCCUGGAGCAGACCCGGGAAGAGCAGCGUGUCUCCAUAGACCACCUGUUGACCAUGGAGGAGUUAGGGAGCUGCGGUGCGUCUCCCUUCUUGCGUGAGUACUGGGCUGUAUUUGUUCCUUUUGCCUUGGCAUCUUCUAAAAUCAAUAGCCAGCAACAAUUUCCACUAACUGGAGGAAAUUAUCCAGGGGCAUGGUGGGGCCAGUGGUGACUGGCUGGCAGUUCCCAGGCAAUCUGUCCUCCAGACGCUUUCAUUACUGGAGCCCUCUUGGGGGCUGGCAGGCUGGGUAAUCUGACUCCAGAGCCAGGGGAAUGGUGGCAAGUAUGUGAGUGAACAGGGAGCCAGAGAUUCUUCUCUCUAGGCUGCAGAGUCCCGGAGUGACUGUGGAAAAGAAACGAGAGCAAAUGGAAACUGGUACAGACACUAUGGAGAAUGAUAUGGAGAUUGCUCAAAAACUUAAAAUAGAGCUACCAUCAGACCCAGCAAUCCUACUGCUGGGUAUGUACCUGAAAUGAAAGGAAAGCAGUAUGUGGAAGAGAUAUCUGCACUCCAUGUUUAUCACAACACUGUUCACAAUGGCCAAGAUUUGGAAGCAGCCUAAGUGUCCAUCAACAGAUGAAUGGAUAAAGAAAAUGGGGCUGGGCACAGUGGCUCACACCUGUAAUCCCAGACUUUGGGAGGCUGAGGGAGGUGGAUCAUUUGAGGUCAGGAGUUUGAGACCAGCCUGAGCAACACGGUGAAACCUCGUCUCUACUAAAAAUACAAAAAUUAUCUGGGCAUGGUGGCGGGCACCUGUAGUCCCAGCUACUUUUGAGGCUGAGGCAGGAGAAUUGCUUGAACCCAGGAGGCGGAGGUUGCAGUGAGCCAAGAUUGUGACAUUGCAUUCCAGCCUGGGCAACAAAAGCAAAACUCCUUCUCAAAAAAAAAAAAAAAAAAAAAAAGGAGGCAGAGUACGUAUAUACAAUGGAGGAGUACUAUUCAGCUAUAAAAAAGAAUGAGAUCCUGUUAUUUGCAAUGGCAUGAAAGAAACUGGAGGUCAUUAUCUUAAGUAAAAUAAACCAGGCAGAGAAAGUCAAACUUGGUAUGUUCUCAUUCGUUUGUGGGAGCUAAACAUUAGAACAAUUGGGCUGGGCAAGGUGGCUCACACCUGUAAUCCCAGCACUUUGGGAUGCCAAGGUGGGUGGAUCAUCUGAGGUCAGGAAUUUGUGACCAGCCUAGCCAACAUGGUGAAACCCUGUCUCUACUAAAAAUACAAAAAAAAUUAGCCAGGCGUGGUGAUGGGAGCCUGUAAUCCCAGCUAUUUGGGAGGCUGAGACAGGAGAAUGGCUUGAACCCGGGAAGCGGAGGUUGCAGUGAGCAGAGAUAAUGCCACUACACUCCAGCGUGGGUGACAGAGCGAGGCUCUGUCUCAAAACAAAACAAAACAAUUGAACUCAUGGAGAUAGAGAGUAGAAGGAUAGUUAUCAGAAGCUGGGAAGGGAAGGGCAGUAGAGGGGAUGUGGGGAUGGUUAAUGGGUAUAAAAAUAUAGUUAGAUAGAACGAAUAAGAUCUAGUAUUUGAGAGCACAACAAGGCGACUGCAGUCCACAAUAACUUACUGUACAUUAAAAAAUAGGCUGGGCACAAUGGCUCACACCUGUAAUCCCAGCACUUUGGGAGGCCGAGGUGGGCAGAUCACGAGGUCAGGAGUUUGAGACCAGCCUGGCCAACAUGGUGAAACCCCAUCUCUACUAAAAAUACAAAAAAAAAAAAAAAAAAAUUAGCCAGGCGUGGUCGUGCUCACCUGUAAUCCCAGCUACUUGGGAGGCUGAGGCAGGAGAAUUGCUUGAACCUAGGAGAUGGAGGUUGCAGGGUUCACUGAGCCAAGAUUCCGCCACCGCACUCCAGCCUGGGUGACAGAGAAAGACUGCGUCUAGGAAAAAAAAAAUUAGCUCGGCGAGGUGGUGCAGGCCUAUAAUCCCAUCUCCUUGGGAGGCUGAGGCAGGAGUAUCGCUUAAACCUGGGAGGUGGAGGUUGCAGUGAACUGAGAUUGAGCCACUGCACUCCAGCCUGGGUAACAGCAAGACUCCAUCUCAAAAAAAAAAAAAAUUAAAAGACACCAGAAAGUAUGAGUGUUGCCUAAUGGAAGAAGAGAAGCUAUUACCUUUUGCUUUUACAUGCUCUUCAUUGAACAUCUGCCUUCCGUCUUAUCUCAAGAUGCGUGGCCAUCAUUGUCAGGCAGACCUUGGUUCAAGUCUGGGCUCAGCUUCUUUUACAGUGGUAUGAACAUGGUGAAUUACUUAACCUCCAAGGCCACACUUUCUUCAUUUGAUUUAAAAAAUACUUUACUUCACUGGCUGUUCGUGGGGAUUAAAUGGGAUAAAGUAUUUCACUUACUGUGCUUUACAAAAUUCCUGAUAAGUUCUCAGUAAGGGAUAGCCAUUUACAUUCUUAUCCUCUGUAAUUUUCUUCUUUGUAUUAUGUUUAAGUAAUUCUUUUUCUUUCAUGGAGAAGGUACUAGGAAAGCAAGAUGUGGGAAAAUGGGGCUAUUUACAUAUCAAAAAAGGAAGACUAGUAAAAAAUUAAUACAUGUUUAUUCCUUCUGCUUGUCCAUGUUGAUUUCUUCUGCAAGAAUCAACUUGUCUCUUUUUGCUCAUUGCACCCAGGAGGGAAAAAACUAUGCCCAGAGUUCCCCUUGUUGAGGCUCUGACAUUAGCUAUUAUUUUUUGACUUUGUUUUGGGGUGCAAUGCCCCCUGGGAACACUGGUCUUGCCAUCUACCCAGGCAGAGAGGUCUGACCACUGGGCAUAC
rnacentral:lncRNA from 1 species